UCCCUGGUAGCUCAGACGGUAAAAGCGUCUGCCUGAAAUGCUGGAGACCCAGGUUUGAUCCCUGGGUAAGGAA
rnacentral:tRNA from 1 species